CUUCAUGUCCAAAAGGAAGGAGAAUGAAUUCUCCGCAAAAUCAUAAAAAACAUUACAAGUUUAUAUCAUGUUUAUGUGCACUUCAUAACCUUUAUGAACAAUAUUUUGCUAACUAAAAAGGAUUGUACAUAUGACUAAUACUUUUGUCAACACAUUGUUUCAGAAACUCACUGCAAACUACUAUUCUUAUUAUUUUAUGGCCUUCAACACCAACAUUUUAUUGCUUACGUGCAUGUACAUACCAGCUCCUAUAGGCAACACCAACGUAAUACGACAUCCUGACUGCUCAUACUAUUAUAUUUGUAAACUAAACUAUCCUGCUAAUGUUAUAUGAACAAAUAUAUAUUCAGAAUAAAUCUGUCACUUCUAUGAUGAACUUUUGGAACACACUGCUGAAAUACAAUGUAAUAUAUAUGGUCCUCUCAGUCUACCGUAGGUUUGCUGUAACUACUACAAUUACAAUCUCAGCACAUCAACUUCUGUAAGCACUGGAACCAGUUUAAAUUUGCCCUUAAAUUUAUGGCAGCAUAUGGUACAUAAUAACUGCUAACAACUACUCUAAGUGUACAUAUAAUUUUAAUACAUAACCCCAACGAAACUGAUCGUAAAAAUGGUUCAGGUUCACCAUGCGCGCAUGGCGCGCACCAUACACUAGUAAAAGUGAAACAUGAUGCAAAGGGACAAAUGGAAUAACACAUAAGAACUUAUCUUAUUGCUUUAACAUUUUCAGUAUGUUUCUUAUUGUAUUGGACAAAUUUAUAAGCAUACCUUCGGCUCCUGAAUAAUGGGAUGCACGAAGAUUCUUUGAAGGCUAAGCACUACGAAGUCGGGACCCUUCCAAAGAUACUUUUUGUAGGGUAAUGUUCAUCUAUUUAUAGGGGAGACGAACUGACUUUGUACAUAUUUACAGUAAUGCCCAUCCAUUUUUACAUAAGCCAUUUACAAAUGACAUUAGGGUAGUAAUGUACUUCCUCCUUUCUCAGCUCCGCAAAUUCCAACCCUCGUCGUCCGGUAGCCUUCCUUUUGGACUUGUGGCCCAAGUUGCCGCCUUCAGCCAUUAUUUUCGUUGCUUGCGUAUAGACGAAAUGCCUUUGUACACUGCUUUUAGCCAAAGCUUAGCUUUGUCCGUCAGUGAGAAUAUUCCUGAAACACACUUGUGAUUUUGAAAAUGGUUGCUUAUGAUUUUCGUUGCUUGUGAUUUUGCUCUUCGUUUUUCGACUUUAUGAUUUUACCCUUCUGUUUUGAAAACCAAAUUACCGUUUGCCUCACCCUCUCAACGCCAUUAGUGAAAAUCAGAUUUGGUGAUUAAAAAAAUAAAAAAUGUGAAAACAAUGGAUGAAAGGUCCAAACUGCCCUCCUUAUAUUAUAUAUGGGUGUUACCUAACAAGAGUAAAAUCACAAUUACAUAAUAUAACAAAGGGCAAAAUCACAAUACAUGUAUAGACAUUUUUGUCUUUUUUAUAUCAGAUUUAACACCAUUAACUACAUGAAACGACGCAGGGGUAUGCCAAAGCCUCGUUUCCAAAACCAAGGGUUAAAAUUACAAAGUUAAAAAACAAGGUUAAAUUACGAUUGCAAGGCUAGAGAGGUUAUACUAAAUGCCUCUAUAGUUUACGUGGCUGACCUCUAACAUAAAAAUGAUUUAGUUCUGCUAAGAGUUUAAAAAUAAUUUAGAAAGCCUAAAAUAUAUAAAAAACGGUUGAUUUGAAAUAGUAAAAUUGAACGAUGAUCGCGAGCGUUGAUUUAGAUCUAGUCAUCGGCUCCGACUUCUCCGGUCAAGUCCUCCCCCUACCUCUACCAGCUGCCCGUCGCACACAAAACCCCAGGCUGCCCGCCGCCGCCGCGACCCGCCACGCCGCCAUGUCCGCUGCCGCGGCGCUCCGGCCGAUCGAGCCACUUCCCCUCCCGACUGGGCUCUCCCUCUCGCCGCGCCUCAAGCUUCUGCUCACCUUCUUUCGCGCCGACCUCACCGUCCGGCCCCUGGACGAGUGGCAGCUCAAGUCCGCCCUCCUCGCGUUUCUCCGCGACCCACCUCUCCCCCUCCCGCUCCUCCCCGACUCAGACCUCUCCGUGAGCCGCCUCCCUGACCUCCAGAAGCGCCGUCGCGAGGAGCCCGUAGCCUCUGGGGUCCUCCACGUCCGCGACCUCUCCUUCCUCCGCCCCCGCAAGGGAGACGGCGAGGCCGAGGAGAUGACCGGGGAGCAGGAGAAGUACUUCGAGUGGCGGAGCACCCUGGUUCAGAAGCUCGAAGGCAUCGAGCUCAACCUCGAGGGAGUGAAGUUCCGGAUGACCGUCGAGAUCCCAUCGUCUGACGACUUCAGAACGAUGAAGAAGUCAUGGGAGGAUUUCUACUCCUCCGAGCUACUCAAUACCAGGAAUCCUGUGAGAAAGAUAGCUAAAAGGCCAGACACAAUUGUUGUCCGUGGCGUGCCUUCCAGGUGGUUUGCAGAGACAAGAGUAUCAUCCAAACCUUCCACGCUGGUCACCCACACUGUUUUCUCAGCGCUUGGUAAAAUAAGGAACCUAAAUAUUUCCAAUGAUGAUGAGAUAGAAGCAAAAGGACAUGGAGUCAACAAGGGGCUCAUAUCUGGACUUAAUUGCAAAGUUCAGGUGCAAUUUGAGAGCUACAAUGACUUCCAGGAUGCAAUGAAGGCAUUAUGUGGACGUUCUUUAGAGAAGGAUCACGGUUGAAAGUAGACUAUGACGUGACCUGGGACUGUGAAGGUUUCUUUCGCAUUUCUCAAUAUGAGCCAGUUCGUAACAAUUUAGAGGAGAGGGAUUCAUUAGCAUCGGUUAAUAGCCAGAGGAAACAUCACACUUCGCGAAUUGAAUCAGAUUAUAGGAAGAGAUUCAGGGAGUGAUGACAUAAGCCCAUGGUAUGAGCGAGAUUUCUUUGUCCUCUGGAGAGGGAAAACAGCUGCAUUGUACCAUCGUAUUGUUUCGUUCUCAGAUUUCAAGUUAUAUUUCUCAUUUGUUCACAAUUAACCGAACAGAAAAACCCAUUCUGAUACUUACUAAUUUGUAUUUAUUAUUAGUAUCGGUUUUAUCCUUGAUGAUACCCAGAGGCCAGAGAGCGCCACAAAA